rnacentral:rRNA from 1 species
UACGUAGGGCGCAAGCGUUGUCCGGAAUUAUUGGGCGUAAAGAGCUCGUAGGCGGUUUGUCGCGUCGGCUGUGAAAUCCCGAGGCUCAACCUCGGGCCUGCAGUCGAUACGGGCAGGCUCGAGUUCGGUAGGGGAGGACUGGAAUUCCUGGUGUAGCGGUGAAAUGCGCAGAUAUCAGGAGGAACACCGGUGGCGAAGGCGGGUCUCUGGGCCGAUACUGACGCUGAGGAGCGAAAGCGUGGGGAGCGAACAGG